UUUAGGGUGGUUUUAGCGGCAGGGCUCACCUGUUCCCAUUCCGAACACAGAAGUUAAGCCUGCCAGCUCCGAUGGUACUGCGAAAGCGGGAGAGUAGGUCGCCGCCAGUUU
rnacentral:rRNA from 1 species